UACGUAGGGACCAAGCGUUGUUCGGAUUUACUGGGCGUAAAGGGCGCGUAGGCGGCGUGUUAAGUCAGCUGUGAAAUCUCCAAGCUUAACUUGGAACGGUCAGCUGAUACUGAUGUGCUAGAGUGCAGAAGGGGCAACCGGAAUUCUUGGUGUAGCGGUGAAAUGCGUAGAUAUCAAGAGGAACACCUGAGGUGAAGACGGGUUGCUGGGCUGACACUGACGCUGAGUGCGCGAAAGCUAGGGUAGCAAACGGG
rnacentral:rRNA from 1 species